GCCGGGGUGAUGAAAUUGGUAGACAUACAGGACUUAAAAUCCUGGGAGGGUUACACCUCGUGUGGGUUCGAUUCCCACCCCCGGCA
rnacentral:tRNA from 1 species